UCUCUUCAUUGGUCCACAGUCUCCCAAGAAGGCGUUAUUUCCAAAUCCAUGUGCUUUGAGGUUACUUCCAGUCACAAACAAAAUCCUACCACGUGUAUGUCAAUACUUUUCAAGUUAGGGACUUUUGGACCUAAAGGUUCAAUAUG